UACGGAGGAGGCAAGCGUUAUCCGGAAUUAUUGGGCGUAAAGCGUCCGUAGGUGGCUCUUCAAGUCUGCUGUCAAAGAGUGGGGCUUAACCCUGCAAAGGCAGUGGAAACUGAAAGGCUAGAGAGCCGUAGGGGUAGAGGGAAUUCCCGGUGUAGCGGUGAAAUGCGUAGAGAUCAGGAAGAACAUCGGUGGCGAAGGCGCUCUGCUGGACCAUAACUGACACUCAGGGACGAAAGCUAGGGGAGCGAAUGGG
rnacentral:rRNA from 1 species